ensembl:lncRNA
CCUAUCCAUCUUUUUUGCUUCCUAGGUUUAAGGUAAUUUUGAUCCCCUAUAGCCACAUGGUCCCAUAGUGAUUUGCCACAGGCCUCAAAGCAAUGGAGCUAAGCAGUCAUAGCCCAGCACCUCCCAAACUGUGCCCCAAUAUGUUUUGUAAUAUUGUGUACACUGUAGAGAUGUGUCUCUGCCUAAGGCGCCUUCUGAUUGGUUUAAUAAAGAGCUGAAUGGCCAAUAGCUAGGCUGGAGAGUCUAGGAGGGACUUCUGGGAAGAGAGAACAACUCUGGGAAGAAAAGAGGCAGGGGCAAUGGCAAAGCGUGGAACAAACGGGACACACAGAAUGAAGAACAGGUUUUAAAAAGCCACAUGGCAGCCAAAGGCUUUUUUGGCAUCUAGUGAGAUGCUCACUCAUAUGUGGAUUUUAGACAUUGAGUAAAGGAUUACCAGCCUACAAUCCAUACUGCCAGAGAAGCUAGUAAACAAGGAGGACCCUAAGAGAGACAUACAUGGUCCCCUGAAGAAGGGGAAAGGGUCAAGAUCUCCUGAGCAAAUUGGGAGCACGGGAAGAGGGGAGAGGGAGCUAAGAGAAUCAGAAGGGAAGAAGAGGAAGUAUGCAGAGGUCAUGAGGGAGUAGAAAGGUUGAGUCAGGUGAAGAAUAGAAGAUAACAAGAAUGGAGAUACCAUAAUAGAGGGAAACAUUUUAGAUUUAAGAGAAAUCAGUCACUAGGGAAAUGUCUGGAGAUCUACAAAGAUGACACCAGCUAACAAUCUAAGCAACGGAGGAGAGGCCACCUUAAAUGCCCUCCCCUGAUAGUGAGAUUGAUGACUGACUUAUAUGCCACCUGAUAGCCCUCAUCCAGCAGCUGGUGGAAUUAGAAGCAGACACCCACAACUAAUCACUGAACUGAACUGGAAUCCAGAUGCAGAGAAGGACGAGUGAAGAGCAAAGGGGUCCAGACCAGGCUGGUGAAACCCAUAGAAACAGCUGACCUGAACAUCGGAGAACUCUUGCUCCCCAGACUGAUAACUGGGAUACCAACAUGGGACUGAUCCAGACCCCAGGAAUUUGGGUUUCAGUGAGAAAACUUUGGAAAUCUACAGGACCUCCUGUAGUAGUUCAGUACUUAUCCAUAGCAUUGGUGUGAACUUCAGGAGCCCAAUCCACAUACAGGGAUACUCCCUGAGCCAAGACACACGGGGGUGGACAUAGGCCCUAUCCCAAAGGAUAUGAUAGACUCUGAUGGCACCCUAUGGAAGGCCUCACCAUCCAGGGGGAGCAGAAAGAAUAUGUGAUAGGUAAGGUUUUAGUUAGGGGGGAUUGUAGGGGAGGAUGGGAGGGAAAAGGGAACUGGGAUUGUCAUGUAAAACAAUCCUGUUCCUAAUUCAAAUAAAAAUAUCUGGGAAAAAAAGCCACAUGGCAGAAUGUAGAUUAAUAAAAGUAGGUUAAGUUAUAAGAGCUAAUGGGACAAGCCUGAGCUGAAGGCUAAGCUUUCAUAACUAAUAAGUCUCUGUGUCAUUAUUUGCAGGCUGGCAGUCCAAAUACAGUUCAACUAUAUCAAUACACGCCUCUAAGCGGAUUAUCCAAAUGUUUAUUAUAGUAAUGGAAAUCUGACCAAUAUAAAUACUUUUACUAUUUCCUUAUCUCAGGUGUGUGCAGAAGGUCAAAGCCCAUUCAUCUUCUCCAACCACAGUGAACCCAACCUAGGGACCACCAAGCUCCGGGGCUCUGCCUGUCUCUGUCCCCUCCGCACUAGAGUUGCAUAUGUUCAUCGCCAUAGCCAGCUUUUUACAUGGGUGCUGGGAAUUCACACUCAGGUCCUCCUGUUUGUUCAGCAAGCAUUUAUCCACAGAGCCGUCUUCCCAGCAUGCGACCUUUUAUGUUUAGUCCACCUAUCCAUGCUCUCUUGCUUAGUUCCAGCCAUUUUGGACUCAUGAAAAACCGGUGUGUUUUCAUGAGUCCAAAAUUGGUUUUGUUCAGUAAUAAAUGAAAUGCUUAUGCUUUAUGCAGACUAGAGAUAGAGGCUAUCAUUUAAAUGUAUCCAUGCUAAUGCCUGGAUACUUUGGGUUCCUAUAAACAGUGUCUCUGUGAAUAUAAAUGCCUGUCUUGAGGGAAGGAAGCCACUGAAUUACAGGACACGAAUACGUUGAUCUCUAGCUGCUAUUGUGAAGCCAUUUCAGAGUGGUUAUAGGUUAGCCACAGUGAGCUAUAACCCCAGGGCCAUCAACAGUGACAGCUCAAUGUAUGCCCAGAAGCAUAGUCUUCCAUGUGCUCAGCACCUUUACUGACACUUGGUAAUUUACACUUUAACUUUUGCCAGUCUGGUGGGUCGUGAUGGUCUCAUCUUGGUUUGCAUUCAUAGCUAAUGAGGCUGACCUUUAGUUACAGUGGGAAGUUUACACUUGCUGCCCUGGCAUGAUUACUAAAACAAUCCUCUUAUUCUCUAACACGUCUGCAUUUAGACAAUAAAUUUUGUGAUACUCUAUUCUCGGUGGGUUUCCUCCAUAAUUUCCUUUUGACCUUUUCAGAUUAAGACGGCUACUAAUGUGCCUAAGUGGCUGUGAGGGAGGAAGAAAAAUCAGGGUAGAACUAGAGGGCAGAGCAAAAACCAAAUGAGAUGGAGACCAAACUCAUUAAGUACAAUUACUCAGCCUGACUCAGAGUGGCCGGCUCCUAAGCAAUGUGUGACAGAGCCUCCUCACGGGCACAGCAGAUGGGUUUGAGUAACGGAAUCCAGAGUCAAACCGAAGGAAUUUGUUUACUUGUUCCUCAGAAAUGACUCAAGUCACAGUCAUUAUUUAAAAACUGGUCACUUCCCUCACAGUCUGUAGCAGUUCUCCUACAAGCGGGAUCACAGAACCAAACAGCACUUCUCUUAGCAUGAGAUUGUUUUGUGAGCCCCGACCUUCCGACUAAACCAGUCCACAUUACGCUUGAAUAUAGUAACUUUUAUAUUUGAGUCUAAUAUGUCCCCCAAAGGGGAAAUCAAAUAUAUAACUUGUUAUAAUUUAUACUGAAGGGGUUUAUGGUUGUUAAAAAUGUUUUACUAUGUGUCUUAUCUUUUUCCCUCCAAGAAAACCUGGAAAGGCAUUUUUUGCAGUAGUCUCCAUAUGGAGUGGUGGGGAGUAGAGUCCUUGCCCCGGAGGCUCUGAGCUGAAGACCAGCUCGAAAAGCCCAUUUCUCUAGGCAGAUAGAAACAGUGCUGAACACACGUAUGCCUCCUGGGAACCAAACACCAAAUUAUUUCUGGCCCAAUCAUCUGCCCUCCUUUCCAAUAUGCGACAUUUCCAUACGCUAAGUCCAGAUAUUGCUUAUCACUUGAAUAAAAAUUAUCCCAAGGUCAGCAUGACAAAUGGUACCUUUUCCUGCUUCCACUAGGACGAUGGCUAAUUCAGUCAGUGGCACGAAGGACUCUUCAUUAACUAGCUCAUUAGGUGGAGCAGAGGGCUUUUAACACUCCCUCAAAACUGCAGGGACUUUCUCCUGAAUCUUCCAAAAUUGAGAUAAACACAUUUUAAAAGUCCCAUCUUACCGUGUUGGAGAGAUGGCUCAGAGGUUAGAGCACUGGCUGCUCUUCCAGAGGUCCUGAGUUCAAUUCCCAGCAACCCCAUGUUGACUCACGACCAUCUGUAAUGAGAUCUGGUGCCCUCUUCUGGUGUGCAGGAACAUGUGUCGUACAAACUUGGGGUGAAAUCCUGGAGACUUAGGCUACAGUUUGUCAACAAGAGAAGCCAAGGUGCCUGGAGGUGGUGGCACAUGCCUGUGAUCCCAGCACUCAGAAGGCAGAGGCAGAUGGAUCUCUGUGAGUUCGAGACCAGCCUGGUCUACAGAGGAGUUCCAGGACAGCCUCCAAAGCCACAGAGAAACCCUGUCUAAGAAAGAAGAAGAAGAAGAAGAAGAAGAAGAAGAAGAAGAAGAAGAAGAAGAAGAAGACAGACCCCGCCCACUCACAUUCUCUUAUCCUCUCUCUUUUACUCCUCUUACUCUCCUCUCUUCCUUUCCGAUCUUCUCUCUACCCCCCUCCCCCACCUUUAAUAAACUAUGGUUAAUGUACUCUCUAGUUCGUGUUCCAUCUCUCGGUUCUUUUCUAAUUAUUAAACUUUUACAAAAUAACAACAGACUGUUACACAGAGAAAUCCUGUCUUGAAAAUCAGAGAGAGAGAGAGAGAGAGAGAGAGAGAGAGAGAGAGAGAGAGAGGGAGGUCAAGGCAGGAACCUGGAAGUAGCAACUGAAGCGGAGACCAUGGAGGAACACGGUUCACUGGCUUGCACAGCUUGCUUUCUUCCACAGCCCAGGGCCACCUGCUCAGUGGGGCAGCACCUACAGUGGGCCAAGCUCUCUCUCAUCAAUCAAUAUUCAAGAAGAUGCACGCAGGCAUUCCCACAGGCUGAUCUGUGGAGGCAGCUGCUCAAGAGGGUGAUCCUAGUUUGUGUUAAAUUGGCAAAAAUAAUUAGCACGUCCCCCAACUCUCCCAACAACGACAGGGUGGGACGGGUGGCACGUGCCUGUGACUGUAGCUCACGGGAGGCAGAACUAAUGCGAACUAAGUCGGCCUGUGUUUCAGGACAGGUGAAGCUGCACAGCAAAACUCUGCAAAGACAAACAAAAAACCCAACAAACGACAAAAGAAAACAAAAACCCAAACAAAAAACCUCUCCAAAGAGAUACAAAACAGACUACCACUGAAGGGACCCUAGCCCAGGUGGCUCUGGCAGGCCUUGACCUUCUCCCCAAUUCCCACUGCCCUACUAAAAAUGUUAAGAUGAUAUUCUUGAAGCUAGCCCCUAAGGUCUAUUCCUUUAUUUGGCAGCUUCCUCCUCCUGAGGCUGACUAUCAAGGUUCAGUUAUCAAGUAUUGAAGUCCAGCAAUCAAAAGCCUCUUUGGCUCACCUAAUUAACACGCCCAGUUAAUAUUAAAUACCUUAUCCUAACAUGGGUUUCUCCUUAUGCCUUUAUAAAUGGCCAUUUUCCUAUGUGCCAAGCAUCUGUUGAGGAAUAUUAUUUUAACUGUGUAAAUGUGUGUUACAUUUGUUUAUGCUGCAUUCGUUUAAUUAUGUAAAGAUGUGUUGUUGUACCUUGCCUGUCUAAGGCACAUGAUUGGUCUAAUAAAAAGCUGAAUGACCAACGGCUAGGCAGUACAGGAAGAGGCGGGGCUGGAGGGCAGAGAGAAUAUAGGAGGAGGACUGUAGGUCCCAGAGAAUGAGAAAAGAAUGAGACAGGGAGAGAGGCGUCAGGGGUCAGGCAGCCGGAGGAAGCAGCAGGGAGCAGAGCCUACAGAAGGAAAGAAAAAAAAAAAAGCUCUAAAAUGUAGAUGAAGAGAAACAGGUUAAUUUAUUAUAAGAGCUAGUGGGACAAGCCUAAGAUAAGGCUGAGCAUUUAUAGCAUAUAAUAAGUUUCUGUGUCAUGAUUUGGGAGCUGGAUGGUGGCCCAAAGGAAAGCUUGCUACAGUCUCCUCUCUAUCUAGAGGCGGUCCCCCUCCCCCGCCCCAGACAAAUACCCCUGUACUCUUUCCCUUGCUCCCUUCCCCUUCUCCCCCAUCCUCUAUCUCUGCCUUUGUCUCUUAUUCCCUGCCUUCUGUCCCUCUGGGGCAAUAAAUCACCUUUGUGCUGAGAACUUGGUCUUGGUGUGUCUUGACGACUUCGAGGUUCCCUACAGCUAUGACAGUGCUUCAGAUAUGGACACACAGUGGCCAGGGAAUCAGGAGUUGACCUGUUACGAGUGUUCCUUCUCAAGCUAUGCUGGCAGACACGGCCCUGAGGGAGUUAGGGAAGCCCCCAUGGCUGUGCUGUCCAAUAUGGAAGCCAUUAGUCACAGGAAGCUGUGUUCCUGUCAUUGAGAUAAAAUGCCUGCCAUCAACAACAUUAAGGCAGGAAAGUCAUUUUGGCUCAUGGUUUCACAGUAGUGGGAACAUGUUGGCAAAGGCUGUGUACUUCAGGGUGGCCAGGAAGCAGUGACGUGUCCCCAAGUGACAUACUUCCCCCACAGGGCUCCACCCCGUCAGGUUUCCAGAACAUCACAAAAGAGACUGAUGGCUGUGGAGCAAGCAUUAAACACAUGCGCCUCCGGGUAGCAUUUCAUACGUAAACAGCAAUAGCUGUCUCAGUUUUCAAUGAAAUAAAAUGUAGACUGUCAUCUGCUGAAAAGGUGACUUGCUCAGUGGCACUAGCAGCAUUUACAGGGCUCAGUGGCACCUAUGGCUAAGGCAACCACAAUGCCCAGCGCAACUGAACUCUUCCCUGUACUGCUGCAACCUGCGCUAUGCGGAACAAGGCUUUCCAGUUUUGGUGUCUGCUUUGUUAGUGUUUUUCAAGAUGGUGGUGCAGACUUGUAACUCCAGUUACUCAGGAGUCUGAGGCAGGAGAAUCACAAGUUCAAGUCUUUAGCUGAACUACAAAGUGAGUUCAAUGCUGACCCAGGGAAUUCAGUGAAAUUCUCUCUCAAAAUAAGGGGGAAAGAGGACUGGAGAGGUAGCUCAAUGGUAGAAUGCUUGCCUAGCAUGUAUGGGGCCCUGGGUUCGAUUCCCAGUGCUGAGAACAAAACAAAACAAACCCAUUUGACUGGCAUCUGGGACAGGUGCUUCUUGUUUAUCUCCACAGUCUUCCAUCUUCACUGGAAACUUCAAGUUUAGAAACAUUCAGGGGUGUCAGGGAAACUCUUUUCAGCAGUGACAUUUAAAGCCAGGUGACAAGAACAGCAGUCUCAAGAGGGCAGUGUUCAAGGGCAAGUCUCACAAAUGCAUUCAAGUGUGUCCCGGCUGAGGUGAAAGAGAUGCACAUACCCCCGCCCCCCAGGGUGCCUCUCCUGCCCCACCCUCAGGGCUACUACCGUUUUGUUCCUUUCUCCCCUGGACAAAGCCCCAGGCCUGUAGCUCACCGCUCUCUGGCUGAGAGGCCUUUUGUGAACUUAACCAGGGCAGAAAGAAAACCUGCCUCUGAAAAGAAACGAAGUAGCAAACGCACAGAGCAGAACAAGAUGAGGCAGGGUGGAGAGGCAGGAGCAGGAUGGGAGCCGGGAUUGUUCGUUCCCUUGGAAUUCACUGGCUCUCCGAACACUGUGGGUGUCAACAGCAGGGCUUCCGGGCGAGUGAGCACCCUCCAUGCUUCCCUGCACUACUCAUCUGAGCUUUCUUCACGCAAAACCCCACGCCAUCAUUAAAAGCAAAGAACUGCACCCUGCAGCAUUAGUUUGCUUGGGUGUAGGUAAGCGACCAAGCUCUUCCAUCUGCAGACUCAGAGCUGAAGACAUGGGGCUGAAGUGGCGCAGUAGGUAAGAGUACUGUCCACUCUUGCACGGGCCUGGAGUCAAUUCCCAGCACCCACAAGGAGGCUCCUAACUCCAGUUCCAGGAGAUCUGAUGUCCUCUUCUGGCCUCCAAAAGCACUGGUGACACGUGGUACAGAGACUAUAUGUAGGCAAAACAGCUACACAUAAAAAUAAAGAAGAUAAACAUUUUACACAAAAGCCCAGGGGACAUGAAUGUCAGUGUUUUGUCGACAAAGCACUAACAGUUUUUUUUUUUUCAUAUGCUUACACACAGUUCAUGUAUAAAACAUGCACGCAGACAUACCUGUGUAUGUGGAGAGGUGAGAGGGAGAACACGCUCAUCACUGAGGUUGCCGUGUGACCAUGGGGUGGGGUGGUAAGCUGUAGCUGGCUGCCAGGCUUGGCAAGAGUUAGGGUUGUGGUCUUGUAUCUGGAGGUGGCUGGCAGCAGGAGUCUUUCUUUGAUGGGGCCUGAUCUUUCUUCCUAGGGGCCUUCACCUGAUUGGAUGAGGCCCAUUCAUACUGUCAUCCUCGACUCUGAUUGUAAAACAGCCACACUGUCAGCCACAGAGGUACAUGCCUGCACUCUGAAGGCAGAGAGACAGGUGGACGGAGAGAUUAAAGUCAGCCUGGGCUAUACAAUUCAAGUUUUAUUUUUCUAAAAGCCAAAUUGAGGCAUAAUUGGUAGGCAAUAAACUCAUUGUAGC